AGACCUCCAAGGUCCCUUCCAACUCUGUUAUUCUCUAUUCUAUUCUCCAAAAGAUCAGAUCCGGACAUUUGCAACUCACUAUGCUGAGUCAUCACACGUGCCUAUGUAGGCCACCUCUCUGCCCAAAGUCGCUUCAUACCACAAAGGAGCUUAGCAAGGAAGGUAUAAAGGAAGAGGGAAAGACGCUUGAUUACAGCUCUUGGAGAGCUGUCACAUACAAUUUACAAAGGCCUCUGUGCCUUGUCAUUUCAAGGUACCAAAGCGGCUUGCAGAAGACGAGCUGCGGCUGGUACCAGUUAUAAUACGCUUACUGGGACAAUGAUAGCAUUCAAGAGCUUUCAGGCCUCUGAAAAAAUGUAGAAAGUGCAACUGUUAAGCUGGCUAAAGAGUGGGGUGGGUGGAAAGCUGUAGAGAAGAAGUGAAAUAACCUGGGUUGGAAGCUUAUUAAUAGCAGCUUAUCCCCGAGAGAAUUAUGGCAAUAUGGCAAUUUCAGGAUUGAGAAGAUUUCACUGCUUGUAAAGAUUUGUGUGCCUCCCACCUUGUCUAGAGGCGACUCAGGACAGGAUACAACAUUAAAAAACCAGUAAACACAGGAAAAGCUUCUUGUUCACUCCUCCUUCUGUCUCCUGAAGUUCUGAAAGGGGAGAAUCUCUGCGGAUGAGUUUGCAGCUCUUGAUCAGUAGCCCAAAAACUGAACGGAGGGAUGAGGAGGAGGAAGAGGAAGAGGAGGAGGAGAAGGAGGAAGAGGAACCAAAAAACCCAACCAAUCAUUGGCUGUAUUAAAAGAAGGAUAGAACCAACAUGACAUGAAGUGCUACUACUGCUUUAUAAGGCCUUGGUAAGAAUACCACAUCCAGUUUUGGUCACCACAAUGUAAAAAAAGAUGUCGAGACUCUGGAAAUAGCGCAGAGAUGAGUAACAAAAAUGA